CGGGUGGUAAUGCCGGAUGCUCCAGUUGAUCGCAUGGUCUUCUGGGAAAGCUUUCGCGGUAUGGGAUGGGGUCGCGUCCUAUCAGCUUGACGGCGGGGUAACGGCCCACCGUGGCUUCGACGGGUAGCCGGCCUGAGAGGGCGACCGGCCACAUUGGGACUGAGAUACGGCCCAGACUCCUACGGGAGGCAGCAGUGGGGAAUAUUGCACAAUGGGCGCAAGCCUGAUGCAGCGACGCCGCGUGAGGGAUGGAGGCCUUCGGGUUGUAAACCUCUUUUAUCGGGGAGCAAGCGAGAGUGAGUUUACCCGUUGAAUAAGCACCGGCUAACUACGUGCCAGCAGCCGCGGUAAUACGUAGGGUGCAAGCGUUAUCCGGAAUUAUUGGGCGUAAAGGGCUCGUAGGCGGUUCGUCGCGUCCGGUGUGAAAGUCCAUCGCUUAACGGUGGAUCCGCGCCGGGUACGGGCGGGCUUGAGUGCGGUAGGGGAGGCUGGAAUUCCCGGUGUAACGGUGGAAUGUGUAGAUAUCGG
rnacentral:rRNA from 1 species